UUAUCAUUCAAGUUAAAUGAUGGAUCUGUUCAUGAGGCGGAUAAUCGCUUAAUUUCCAUUAGUUUUCGAGGAAUUAUCAACGAGCAGCCAUCGAAUAAUUGCUCGCUUUCUUAUACCUCGUGUUAAAAUUUUAAAAAAAUAAUUAA
ensembl:ncRNA C50C3.18 ncRNA